UACGGGGGGGGCAAGCGUUGUUCGGAAUUACUGGGCGUAAAGGGCUCGUAGGCGGCCAACUAAGUCGGAUGUGAAAUCCCCAGGCUUAACCUGGGAACUGCAUCCGAUACUGGAUGGCUUGAAUCCGGGAGAGGGAUGCGGAAUUCCUGGUGUAGCGGUGAAAUGCGCAGAUAUCAGGAGGAACACCGGUGGCGAAGGCGGUUCUCUGGGCCUGUACUGACGCUGAGGAGCGAAAGCGUGGGGAGCGAACAGG
rnacentral:rRNA from 1 species